UAGGUUGUUGUUGGGGUAACGGCCCAACAAGCCAUUGAUCGGUACGGGUUGUGAGAGCAAGAGCCCGGAGAUGGAUUCUGAGACACGAAUCCAGGCCCUACGGGGUGCAGCAGGCGCGAAAACUUUACAAUGCUGGCAACAGCGAUAAGGGAACCUCGAGUGCCAGGUUACAAAUCUGGCUGUCGAGAUGCCUAAAAAGCAUUUCAUAGCAAGGGCCGGGCAAGACCGGUGCCAGCCGCCGCGGUAACACCGGCGGCUCGAGUGGUAACCGUUAUUAUUGGGUCUAAAGGGUCUGUAGCCGGCCGGAUAAGUCUCUUGAGAAAUCUGGCAGCUUAACUGUCAGGCUUUCAGGAGAUACUGUCUGGCUCGAGGCCGGGAGAGGUGAGAGGUACUUCAGGGGUAGGGGUGAAAUCUUGUAAUCCUUGAAGGACCACCAGUGGCGAAGGCGUCUCACCAGAACGGACCUGACGGCAAGGGACGAAAGCUAGGGGCACGAACCGGAUUAGAUACCCGGGUAGUCCUAGCCGUAAACGAUACUCGCUAGGUGUCGGCCACGGUGCGACCGUUGUCGGUGCCGUAGGGAAGCCGUGAAGCGAGC
rnacentral:rRNA from 1 species